rnacentral:tRNA from 1 species
UGGCUCAGUCGGUGGAGCAUGAGACUCUUGAUCUUGGGGUUGUGAGUUCAAGUCCCAC